UGCUCACACCGUAGUAAUUGCAGAAAUAGAACCGGCGGCACCCUUUUCCUCUCUAUAUUCCGCAACCGUUACAUGAUUAUCCUUUUUGACAAUGCUAAGAACUUGAACCCCCUUAUAAUUAUUGCCACCAUCCGCACUCCCCUCAUUUUCUGGCACAGUUACCAAAGCAUCCUUCUCCCCAGCAUGGUUCUCGCUGUUCAAAGGGUCAACCGAGUCACUCUUCAUGUCUGC
rnacentral:lncRNA from 1 species